CAAGGGGCUGAGCAGAGGGGGGUCCGAUGCCAGUUGCUUAAAAAUGCCCCUGUAGCAUCAAGAGGUGCCAGAGCCGAGUCAACUUAGUUGAGAAGCAGGGACACCCAUAACCAUACCCCAAAUAGGCUGAGCCUCCACCUCCGAAGAGUCAUCCCUGGACCAGAAAACAGCCAAGGCAAGAGUGGCAGCUAGUAGGGUGUCCCCCCUACACUGGAGAAUGAAGACCCCCUCCAAAGAGAAAUCCUCCCGAGAACCAGGAAAGGACAGCAGUAGUAGCCCUGCUCCCAGAACUGAGCUUCCCAACAGACACAGAAGCCAGAGAUCCCCUAGCCUGGAGACAUUCUCUGAAGACGUGGGAAAAGGAGAGAAAGCGGGUCACCCCCUGCAGCAGGCCUCCAAAGCUGCUGAGAGACAACACCAAGAGCACCAGCCCCCAGGAAAGGCUGCCUACCCUCUUCAGACAACCCUGAAAGUAUGUGUCAUCCAGCAUCAAGGCCACCACAGUCACCAUGAAGCAAAGGUCUUCUGGGGGCCCUGGGAUCUUGGCAAGAGCAGGAUGAGUGGGUGGUUUGGGGUGGGAGCGCUCCGCUCACCUGGAAGUUCCCAUACAAGCCAUGCCCACAGAAGUAAAUGAAUUAUCCACGUGGCAUGCCUUUAAUCCCAGCACUUGGGAGGCAGAGCCGGGUGAAUCUCUGUGAGUUCAAGGCCAGCCUGGGCUACCAAAUGAGUUCCAGGAAAGGCGCAAAGCUACACAGAUAA